GGGUGUGUGGCGCAAUGGUAGCGCGUCUGACUUCGAUUGUCAUUCGCUAUCAGAAGGUUGCAGUUUCGAGUACUGUCACGCUCA
rnacentral:tRNA from 1 species